CCCUUGCACUCACACAUAUCCCCCCUUGCACACAUGCUUGUGCCCUCGCCCCCCCUUACACACACACUCACAAGUGCACACAGCCCCUCCAUCCUUGCACACACACCCCUUGCACACACACUCACAGGCACACAAGUGCACACAGGGCCCCUCCACAUCCUUGCACACACACCCCUUGCACUCACACAUAUCCCCCCUUGCACACAUGCUUGUGCCCUCGCCCCCCCUUACACACACACUCACAAGUGCACACAGCCCCUCCAUCCUUGCACACACACCCCUUGCACUCACACAUAUCCCCCCUUGCACACAUGCUUGUGCCCUCGCCCCCCCUUACACACACACUCACAAGUGCACACAGCCCCUCCAUCCUUGCACACACACCCCUUGCACUCACACAUAUCCCCCCUUGCACACAUGCUUGUGCCCUCGCCCCCCCUUACACACACACUCACAAGUGCACACAGCCCCUCCAUCCUUGCACACACACCCCUUGCACUCACACAUAUCCCCCCUUGCACACAUGCUUGUGCCCUCGCCCCCCCUUACACACACACUCACAAGUGCACACAGCCCCUCCAUCCUUGCACACACACCCCUUGCACUCACACAUAUCCCCCCUUGCACACAUGCUUGUGCCCUCGCCCCCCCUUACACACACACUCACAAGUGCACACAGCCCCUCCAUCCUUGCACACACACCCCUUGCACUCACACAUAUCCCCCCUUGCACACAUGCUUGUGCCCUCGCCCCCCCUUACACACACACUCACAAGUGCACACAGCCCCUCCAUCCUUGCACACACACCCCUUGCACUCACACAUAUCCCCCCUUGCACACAUGCUUGUGCCCUCGCCCCCCCUUACACACACACUCACAAGUGCACACAGCCCCUCCAUCCUUGCACACACACCCCUUGCACUCACACAUAUCCCCCCUUGCACACAUGCUUGUGCCCUCGCCCCCCCUUACACACACACUCACAAGUGCACACAGCCCCUCCAUCCUUGCACACACACCCCUUGCACUCACACAUAUCCCCCCUUGCACACAUGCUUGUGCCCUCGCCCCCCCUUACACACACACUCACAAGUGCACACAGCCCCUCCAUCCUUGCACACACACCCCUUGCACUCACACAUAUCCCCCCUUGCACACAUGCUUGUGCCCUCGCCCCCCCUUACACACACACUCACAAGUGCACACAGCCCCUCCAUCCUUGCACACACACCCCUUGCACUCACACAUAUCCCCCCUUGCACACAUGCUUGUGCCCUCGCCCCCCCUUACACACACACUCACAAGUGCACACAGCCCCUCCAUCCUUGCACACACACCCCUUGCACACACACUCACAGGCACACAAGUGCACACAGCCCCCCCAUGAGGAAGGGGGAGAAGGAAGGAGGAAGGAGGAGGAGGAGGGAAGGGAAGAAAGGAGGAAGGAGGAGGAGGAGGGAGAAGGAAGGAGGAAGGAGGAGGAGGAGGGAAGGGAAGAAAGGAGGAAGGAGGAGGAGGAGGGAGAAGAAAGGAGGAAGGAGGAGGAGGAGGAAGGGGGAGAAGGAAGGAGGAAGGAGGGAGAGGAGGAGGAGGAGGAGGAGGAAAGGGGAGAAAAAGGGAGGAAGGAGGAGGAGGAGGGAGAGGAGGAGGAGGAGAGGAAGGUGGAAGGAGGACGAAGGUGGAAAGAGGAGGAGGAGGGAAGGACAAGGGAUGAACACGUCCCCCCCUUGCACACGUGCUUGUGCCCUUGCCCCCUUGCACACACACUCUCACACACGCAAGUGCACACAGCCCCCCACAUCCUUGCACACACACCCCUUGCACACACACUUACCCCCCUUGCACACACACUCACUUGCACACACAAGUACACACAGAGCCCCUCCACAUCCUUGCACACACACCCCUUGCACACACACCCCCCCUUGCACACAUGCUUGUGCCCUCGCCCCCCCUUACACACACACUCACAAGUGCACACAGCCCCUCCAUCCUUGCACACACACCCCCCCUUCCCCCCCCCAAAAAAAACCCCUCCCGUAGGAUGAGGAGGAAGAGUUUUAACCCAAAAAUGAGGAGAUUGAGGUGGGAUUUGGGGAGGAAAUUGCUCCCCCUGAGGGUGGUGAGACCCUGGAGGGGGUUCAAGGUCAAGGUUGGAUGGAGCUUUGGGUGACCUGGUCUCCUUGAAGAUGUCCCUGCCAUUAGAAGGGAUGGAACUGGAUGAGCUUGAAGGUCCCUUCCAACCCAAAAUUUUUUACGAUUCUCUGGUGAUUCCACCACUUCUCUGGGUUGGAAGAGACCUUGAAGGUCAUCAAGGCCAACCAUCAACCCAACAUUGACCAACCCAACAUUGACCAACCCAACAUUGACCAACCCACCACUGCCCCGUGUCCCUCAGCACCAGCUUCUAGAUCCCUCCCUCCAGGGAUGGUGUUUUGGGGGGAGCGGAGCCGUAGGAUGAGGAGAAAGAGGUUUAACCCAAAAAUGAGGAGAUUGAGGUGGGAUCUGGGGAGGAAAUUAGAAGGGUUGAUCUUGGAUGAUCUGGAUGAUCUUGAAGGUCCCUUCCAACCCAGAACGUUCUCUGGUGAUUCCACCACUUCCCUGGGUCGGAAGAGACCUUGAAGGUCAUCAAGCCCAACCAUCAACCCAACAUUGACCAACUGAGGGUGGUGAGAGCCUGGAACAGGUCGCCCAGAGAAGCUGUGGUUGCCCCAUCCCUGGAGGGGGUUCAAGGCCAAGUUGGAUGGAGCUUUGGGCAACCUGAUCUCCUUGAAGAUGUCCCUCCAUUAGAAGGGAUGGAACUGGAUGAGCUUGAAGGUCCCUUCCAACCCAAAAUAUUUUACGAUUCUCUGGUGAUUCCACCAGUUCUCUGGGUUGGAAGAGACCUUGAAGGUCAUCAAGGCCAACCAUCAACCCAACAUUGACCAACCCAACAUUGACCAACCCAACAUUGACCAACCCACCACUGCCCCGUGUCCCUCAGCACCAGCUUCUAGAUCCCUCCCUCCAGGGAUGGUGUUUUGGGGGGAGCGGAGCCGUAGGAUGAGG
rnacentral:lncRNA from 1 species